ACAGCUCUAGAAACAUAACACCAGUGGAAAAAAAGAAAAAAAAAAAAACCAAACAAAAUCUCACGACAAAAAGUGGCCUAACAAUGCAUACUAGAACUUAAAUAAGAUGUUAACCACAUCUCUGCAGCCACCCAUAUCCAGUGUGUAUCCUGGAAAGACAUAUGACUAACCAAAGAGAGGAGAGACCAUGAAAAGAGUCAGUCAUGGAUUUUUAAUUUCAUCUAGGCCCUGUUUGCCAUUAUUCAUUUAUAUGUUCAACAAAAGCUUUAGUGGGAGUUAAUAAUCUACUCUAGGAACAAUGGAUGUACUUUUUGUAUGGACAGGAAUACAAAGACGAAUGCAAAUAAAAAUAAAGAAAACUCCUU